CUAACAUCAGCCCCAACCGUCUCCUCCUCUCACAAGACAACACCAUCGCCCUGCUCAGCCACAAACCUCCGUCUCCGUCGCCGGUUCAACCACCACCACCACUGCUCAUCCCUUCGUCGACACCCACAACAGUCAUCCACCUUCUCCGCCGCUCAUCUAUUCCGACCACCUCCGCCUUCAAAUCACUCAUCCCCCCAUCGCCCUUCUCCGUCGUCCACCGCACACCCUCACCAAUCUGCACCACCUCCAUCUCUCGCCGGUUCACCCUCUUCGACCACCAGCCAUCGUAUUCAACCGCCGGCUGCCACCUGAACCGGCAACCCACCACGUCGCCGGACUCAUCCAUCGCGCACCCCAACUGCCACUCGUCUCCGGUCUCCGACAUCAGAGGAAAUCGGUUUCAAUGGUGAUGCUCUUGAUGAUUGUUGACAUAUGAGUGAAACGAAACAAACAACCGCAACCGCCUUCGUAGAUUUCUUACACACUCAUCUCCGAGUCUCGAGGACGAUGCUAUAUCUUAAGCUUGGGGAGGUUGAGAUCAGAGGUGCGGAGCGCUUGCGAACGGUAAUGAGCAUUAAAGAGAUUGAUCGAUCAAGAGGAACAUGAGCUAAAUAAGGAAUUCACUAAUCAAAGGCUAAUUGAUGAAUUUAUUAAUUCAUAGUUCGUGUGAUCUGAAGUACAACUACUAGUUUGAGCCUAACCCCCAUUAUAUUGGGCUGAAUCUAAAGAGAAUGUGUUGAAUGUGAUUUGGGCUCACAAGCCUCAAUGGUUACGAAAAAAAAAAAAGAAAUGGAGAUAGAAUAUAACAAUCAUCAUCAACAACAAAGCAGAAAAAGAAGGAAACCAUCUGCUGGACGGCUGGCAUUGAGAAUCGAAGAAAAAAAAAAAAAAAGAAGGAAAAGCAUUUUUUUGGUUUUGGGGUGAUUUUCUAGAACAACAAAAGGAAAGAACUGUUUUGGUAUUUUAUUUCGUAAGUUUUAAUUUUGGAUGUUUUGUUACUCAUUUGUAUUGAUUGAACUAGCCAUCAUGUCCGGCUAGUCUUUUAUAGUUUCGACAUCGGGGUUUGUUUUCUUUGAUUUGAUUCAUAAACUUAUGUGAAACGGUUAUGUUAGAUUCAAUUAUUUUA